GACGAACGCUGGCGGUGUGCUUCACACAUGCAAGUCGAACGAGGUAGCAAUACCUAGUGGCGGACGGGUGAGUAACGCGUGGGAAUCUGCCCAUAGGUGGGGGAUAACUAGCCGAAAGGUUAGCUAAUACCGCAUAUGCCGAAAGGUAAAAGGAGUAAUCCGCCUUUGGAUGAGCCCGCGUCCGAUUAGCUAGUUGGUAGAGUAAAAGCCUACCAAGGCGACGAUCGGUAGCUGGUCUGAGAGGAUGAUCAGCCACAAUGGGACUGAGACACGGCCCAUACUCCUACGGGAGGCAGCAGUGGGGGAAUUUUACGCAAUGGGGGGAAACCCUGACGUAGCGACACCGCGUGAAUGAAGAAGCCCUUUGGGGUGUAAAAUUCUGUCGGCUGGGAGAAAAAAUGACGGUACCAGCAAAGGAAGCAUCGGCUAACUACGUGCCAGCAGCCGCGGUAU
rnacentral:rRNA from 1 species